rfam:Eimeria necatrix Houghton genomic scaffold, Enh_scaff599
AAAUAGGUUUUUUUUAAAACCCCUUAAAACAUAUUUAAAGAUCCCA